rnacentral:rRNA from 1 species
GAGUACGUGAAACCGUUCAGGGGUAAACCUGAGAAACCCAAAAGAUCGAAUGGGGAGAUUCAUCGUCAGCGGCGUCGGCUUCCGUGCGGCUCGCGAUGCUCGUUGCCUCGGUGACGUGGCACGCGUCCGCUGCGGCAUGUCCGAUGCUCGUCGGCGUGCACUUCUCCCCUAGUAGGACGUCGCGACCCGUUGGGUGUCGGCCUACGGCCCGAUUGGUCGACUGUCGAGUUAACGCUCGGCAGACCAUCGGUUGCCCGGCCGGCUGCUCGGCGGUAUUGAACGCAUAAUUUAAACGGUAUUGGGCCGCAUUCAAUGCGUUCUGGCUCGUCGGCAGGCUCGUCUCGCUCGGUUAUACGGACCUAGCGCCGUUGCCAGGCGCUUGGCGGGCCGUUAGUCGACGAUGUCCUCGAACCGGCUCUCAUAUUUAUAAUAUAAUACCUGUCUGCGACGCUUUUGCUUUGGGUACUUUCAGGACCCGUCUUGAAACACGGACCAAGGAGUCUAACAUGUGCGCGAGUCAUUGGGAUUUGUUUUAAGCCUAAAGGCGCAAUGAAAGUGAAGGUACGGUUGCCUCGCGCACCGGCCAAGGGAGGAUGGCUCGCGUCACGAUGCGAGCCCGCACUCCCGGGGCGUCUCGUGCUCAUUGCGAGCAGAGGCGCACCCAGAGCGUACACGUUGGGACCCGAAAGAUGGUGAACUAUGCCUGGUCAGGACGAAGUCAGGGGAAACCCUGAUGGAGGUCCGUAGCGAUUCUGACGUG